GGUCAGUUAGCUUAGUGGUUAAGGCUAUGGAUUGCCAAUUCGGAGACGGCGGGUUCGAUUUCCUGUACUUGCCU
rnacentral:tRNA from 1 species